rnacentral:rRNA from 1 species
AUUUUAUUGGGCCUAAAGCGUCCGUAGCUGGCCCUGCAAGUCCGUCGGGAAAUCCACUCGCCUAACGAGUGGGCGUCCGGCGGAAACUACAGGGCUUGGGACCGGAAGACUUGAGGGGUACGUCUGGGGUAGGAGUGAAAUCCUGUAAUCCUGGACGGACCGCCGAUAGCGAAAGCACCUCAAGACGACGGAUCCGACAGUGAGGGACGAAAGCUAGGGUCUCGAAC